GGCCACCAAUAUUGAGAAGACGGGGUUGGCCGAGGCAGCCCGCACGCUGCUGCUUGCGAGCGCUCGAGUCAAAGCUAGGGCCAACCGCGGCUUGUCCGGGUGCCCUAAGGGGGCGGACACUUGGUUUAGCACCGGGACACAGAAUAGCCACCGGGGUAGGAAGAUGCGUUCACUUUGCUUACCUGUUGGCAAGAGGGACAUACAAAAAUAACGUAACGUGACAUCGUUGACAACGGUAGCUCUUUGAUUACACAAAAGCCAAUUUUACCUUCCCGCAAAAGCCAGUUGACGCCUUUGGAACUUUUAUUUGCGGCAUUUUGGCGCCCUCUGGCUGUGUUUGGAUCGCUUUCAUGCUCGCCUGCGUCCCAGCCAAGAAAAAAUCGAUGGAGCUGCAGGUUGUCCUCAGGAUGGUUCUGCCCUCAGGACCUGGGCGUGAAUUCAGGGACAGGGUGGCCCUCCAGAACCGGAGUGACAAACUGUAACCAUACUUAGGGAGGCAGACGUCAAAGGCAAGUACAUCUGUAUUCAACUGGGUAAAGCCAUGUGAAGACGUGCCUGCCUCCCUGUUACCUUCCACCAUGAUUGUAAGCUUCCUGAGGCCUCCCCAGCCAUGCCUGCUGUAUAGCCUGCAGAACAUCUGGUCUGUCUGCUUGGGCCCCCAUCUCAUUUCCCGUUUCCUCAUGAAGGCUGUGACACUCUAUGAACGCCUCACUAUAAAAAGCAGAAGGAAUCAGACCCCACUGAGUAGUGCUGCAGGCCCUGAGGACGCUGUUCCGGAGAGCUCUGUCAUUCUCCCUAACGCUCACAGACACAGGAACAUGAGUCAUCAAUGAGACAGUGUUGCCACCCGCCUUUCUCCCAAGCCUCCCUAUAAAAAGAGGAAAUGGCCUCUGACACUGCGAUGUAUGAACAAGAGUUCCACACACAGCACACAGCCUGAGAACUUCUGCCAUGGACUUCCGCACUGCUUAUAGGAUGUUGGUCUCAUGUUUGGGUUUUCAACCUCAAAUCCAAAGGAAACGUCACUUGAAGUAUGAUUUGUAGGGAGCAAUAUAAAGACUGAUUCAGAAGGAAAAACAAAGGUCAAAUGGUACCACUGUGAUAUGACUUCUACAAUUUAAAAAAUAAUUCUACCUUUUUAAAAGAGUAUUUUGGCAAUGGAGAAGAUGGACAUGAAAAGAUCUAUAAUUAGGCUGGGCGUGGUGGCUUACGCCUGUAAUCCCAGCACUUUGGGAGGCCGAGGAGGGUGGAUCACCUGAGAUCAGGAGUUGAAGACCAGCCUGACCAACAUGGAGAAAUCCUGUCUUUACUAAAAAUACAAAAAAUUAGCCAGGUGUAGUAGCGCGUGUUUGUAAUCCUAGCUACUUGGGAGGCUGAAGCAGGAGAAUCGCUUGAACCUGGGAGGCGGAAGUUGCAGUGAGCGGAGAUCGCACCACUGCACUCCAGCCUGGGCGACAGAACAAGACUCUGUCUCCAAAAUAAAAAAUAAAUUAAAAAGAGCUAUAAUUGUUUUUAAAGUGCAUAAAGCAAUAUUAUGGAAGAAAAACGAUCAAUUAGCGACACCAAUCAAUAAAGCUGGAAUGAGACAUAAUUAAGCUAGUUCAAAGGAAAGUCUGAUGAAAGAUUACAAAAAGCUCUCUAAUUAUGAGAGGAAAGAAGAAUCUCAGGCAAGACUGCCAAGGAGGUUACAAAUUUGUUAACCCUGCAGCAGAAAUGAGAAACUCAACAAUUAAAGAGAAAAUAAAAAUCAAUGUCAUUCCAACAAUGGACAGGCUCCAUUCUCCAGUUAAAAGGAUCUACCACCAGCUUUAAAGUCAUCAGCCAAGUUCUUUCCAGAUUUCUCAGAACCACACAAGCAAACACACAUGGCAAGAGCAACCCUCAACUCACUCUAUUAUGAGUACAACUCAUCAAGGACUGAGGACCCUGGAGCAUUUCUUCUCCAAACUCUGAUCUUCCAGAUGCCAAACAAAGUAGGCUGAUAGACUGGCCUGAAGGUAGUGAGUUAUCUCAAUUGAUUAUUCAGUCAGUUACAGAUU
ensembl:lncRNA BASP1-AS1 BASP1 antisense RNA 1